GUUUUCGGAAAUAAGACGUUUUUUUAUCCCUAGAAUACUAAACAGCUAUGAGAUAUAUCCUCUUGGUUGUGGUUGUCCUUGUGGUGCUGGUAGACCAGGCCAAUGGUAACUGUCCCCCAUGUUCCGAAACCACAUGUGUGAGGCCUAAGCGUACGGAAUGCAGAAAAAGAAACUUCGUAAAAGACACCUGUGGAUGCUGUGAUGUUUGUGGAACUAGAUUCAGGCGACCUUGUUCUGCAAUGACACCAAAGUGCGCAAGGAACAGGUGGUGCAUAAACAUAGUGAAUAAUACCAUGGCGGAGGCCAAGAGACACGUAGUCUUACCCGAUACCUUUCAGGGUGUGUGUGGAAGAAUAAGAGUCUGAAAACCUGAUUAAUACAGUUCUAUCAAGAUCUUGGACCAGAUCUCAGCUCACCACGUAAACAACACACUGUAUUUAUACUAAAAUAAGAUUAAAAUAUAACUGAAUCCAA